UUUACUCUUUUCCCUUUUUUCUCUACCAUCAACACGAAAGAAACACCAAAAACCUCAACCUCAUUUUUCUCCAUCUCCACAUGGCCGACCACACAAAAUGACCUUUCUUCUCAUUGACGGUGACCCACAACGUUUCAGCCAGCCACUGAAGGGAACUUUUCGUCCGACCACGACACUUUUCUGCUAUAUGCUUUUCGGACGGUGACGUUUAAGCUAAGCAGAAGCUAUACGCGUUUAGGGCGACCCAUGGCGAUUUGGUUAUGCAAAUCAAAAGAUCAAAUUUUCCAAACCAUUUCUUCUUUGGAACUUCCACAUCUUUUUACCAGAUUGAAGGGGGUUAUGUUGAAGAUGGAAGGAGAAAAAGUAAUUGGGAUAUUUUUUUCUCAUAUUACAAGUUAAACCCACUUUAUAAUUUCUCAUUUUGAUAGAAACCCAGUUCUUCGAUUUGCCUAAAAAAGUUUUCGUGGAAUUUGGAGGUAAAAUUAAGAACAAUGACACAGGAGAUUUGACCGACAAUCACUACCACCGGUUUAUGGUACUCUCUAUUUCUGUAGCAUUCUGAUGAAAAAGAAAACGGGAGGAGUUUUUAAGAUGAUUUUUGGUGUUUGAUUUUGGAAGAAAGAUAUUGAACUGAUGGGUUGUUCUAUGGUGAUGAAUGCUUAUCGGUUGUCCAUUUCUUGGACCCAAUUGAUCAUCAGAAUUCAGCUUGCACAUAUGUUGAAGCAUCUCCAGUUGUUGUAUGAAGAGUACAUUCAGUUUCCAACCACUAUUCAUAUUCAAAAUAUUUUCUUUCAAUAAAUAUGGGAAAUAAAGGUUGUCACCUUACCUUAUCAUGUAGCUUUUGUUGAUUAUUCAUUUUUUUCAGCAAACUCAUCUAGUUCAAGCUCUGCUUCAUCACAACCCAUCUCUUCCCCAUCAUUUUUUUCAGCACAAUUUCAAUUAAUCUAUAAGCUAUAGUUCAGUAAAAAGAACAAGAAGAGUUCAGAAUAAAUCAAAGGGAAGAAGACAAACGCACACAUACAAAUACAUUUGCUGGUAAAAAUGAGCUCCCUCUAUGCUAUCAUCAGAUUGUCAAUUCAUAUAAUGAGUUGAAUGACAGUUUUCAGCUCUUGCAUUUUGUUAUUAUUAUUUUUUUUUAAUCAUUUUAUUUGGCUAGAGAGGUGUUGUUCAAAAUAGAAAAAUGACUUGUGUUGUGACAAACUUGUAGAAAUGAACCAUGAGCUCGUGAUCAUUCUCGUAAUCUGAAUUCACUUUCCUUAGACAAGAUAUACCAAAUCUUGCAUCUGUAGAAGAAACAAAGAUCAACACAAGCAUAAAUGUUCCCUUUGAAUAUAAAAGAUGGCUAAUGGCAUAAAAAUCCAGCAGAAAUAGGAAUUUUUUAUAUGUUUUAAUUAAAAAAAAUGCUAAUGCUCCCUUUGAUAAUGACAAAAUAAUUGAAUUAAACAGCACACUAGAAACAAAAUUAUCAAACAGAAGAGUUUAAAAUUUAUAGAAUGACUGAGAAACCUUUUAAUCAAAAGAGAAUGCAGAGCCACUACCAAAUAAGAUGCUUCACAGGCUAGAUCAUGAAACUAGAACAAGCAGUUUCAUACGAACUUUGGAAUAUUAUUUUGACUACCGUGCUGCUUGCUUUAAAUUCGCAUGCUUAACAAUUACCAGGUAUGUACAUCAAAUUAUUUUGAUUAUUGUGUUGCUGGUUUUAAGUUUCACAUUUGUGGUUUCUAUUGUGUUACUUGUUGGUUGAGUGCAUUGUUAUAGAUGUCAUAUUGUCUUCACAUCCUAUGGUACUUUAUGAACUUUUGAUGAACUUGAUGACAUUUUACUUCACUGGUUUUGAGCAUUUUAUUAAAGAUCUUUGUGCUUAAAUGUGUAUUUGAUAAUUGUUUACAGCUGAUCAACCUUGAGGAAGAGAGAUGUAAAGAAGCAAAAACAAGAGUGUUAGAGAAUAUAUGAAUUAGAAAGCAAAAGAAGAGACUAUAGGUGUUGUUCAACACCUUGAUAACAUGUGUACCGGGGAGGCAUCAUCAUAUGCAAGGACUUCUAAGCGGAAGCAAGGAUGUGUCCUCUUCUAAAAAGUUGAGAAGCCCCAAAUAAAUCUUUCAAGCUCUCUUUGCUUUCCUUCUCAGCGUUGCGUAAACUGCUAAAUUGUUAUAAUGUUAAUCUUCAAGAAAUAGUUAUCUUUUAAAAGUUUAAACUUUCAUUUGAUGCAAUUCUUUUAUGGAAGGAGCAAAAGCGAGAUCUACCUAGAAGGGUUUACUUAUAAAACUUAUAACACUUUUCUUUUAA